UUAUUUGUAUUGCAAUUGCACUAAAUUUAUACAUGAAACUGAAAAAAAUUGAUAUCUUUAUGAAGUUGCAUAAUCCUAUCCAAGGACAGAUAUCUCCUUCCAUUUGCUUUUGCUUUACUAAUUUGAAUCCAUGUGAUUUGUUUUAGAUACAUCUGAAAUUGACUUUUUUGCAUGGUGUAAGAAAUAACAGCUCUUCCUGGAUCAGCCCUCUCCCGUCUGUCAUCUCCAACAGAUACAAAGCCAGCUUUAAAAAGACCAAACCUGCAAAAAUCAUUCAUGCUCUCUGCCUCCAUGUUUUUCUUUCCAACCUAGUUCCUCCAGAAAAUGUAAAAGAGCAACCGAACCGUCAACUGGUACAAUGACUUCUACACGUCAGACCUCGGCCACACCACAGCCAUCAGAUUAUUCUAUCACAGCGUCUCUCAACCGUGGAAUAUGGUCUCCAAGGGAAACAAGCCAGAGAGGGCUCAGGAGCAUUGCUAUAAAGCAGAAGGCAAAUGGAAAUCUUUCCCCAAAGGGCACACUAGGAUUGUUAGGUGAGGGCUGCUCAAUCCAUUAAAAGUUUAAACU